rnacentral:rRNA from 1 species
ACUAACCCUAGCCCAUAAAUUUAUUUACACUAAACUACCAAAACUAUUAUAAAUAAAACAUUCACCUAUUAUUAAAAGUAUAGGAGAUAGAAAUUUUAAAUAUGGCGCUAUAGAGAAAGUACCGCAAGGGAAUGAUGAAAGAUAAAAAAUUAAAGUAUGAAAAAGCAAAGAUUAGCCCUUGUACCUUUUGCAUAAUGAGUUAACUAGUAAAAACUUAACAAAACGAAUUUUAGCUAAGUACCCCGAAACCAGACGAGCUACUUAUGAACAAUUUAUCAAGAACCAACUCAUCUAUGUGGCAAAAUAGUGAGAAGAUUUAUAAGUAGAGGUGAAACGCCUAACGAGCCUGGUGAUAGCUGGUUGUCCAGAAAAUGAAUAUCAGUUCAGCUUUAAAAAUACCAAAAA